UACAGAGGGGGCGAGCGUUGUUCGGAAUUACUGGGCGUAAAGGGCGCGUAGGCGGCCUUCUAAGUCGAACGUGAAAUCCCCGGGCUCAACCCGGGAACUGCGUCCGAUACUGGGAGGCUUGAAUCCGGGAGAGGGAUGUGGAAUUCCAGGCGUAGCGGUGAAAUGCGUAGAUAUCUGGAGGAACACCGGUGGCGAAGGCGGCAUCCUGGACCGGUAUUGACGCUGAGGCGCGAAAGCCAGGGGAGCAAACGGG
rnacentral:rRNA from 1 species